CAGCAGCCGCGGGAACACAGAGGGUGCGAGCGUUAAUCGGAUUUACUGGGCGUAAAGCGUGCGUAGGCGGCUUCUUAAGUCGGAUGUGAAAUCCCUGAGCUUAACUUAGGAAUUGCAUUCGAUACUGGGAAGCUAGAGUAUGGGAGAGGAUGGUAGAAUUCCAGGUGUAGCGGUGAAAUGCGUAGAGAUCUGGAGGAAUACCGAUGGCGAAGGCAGCCAUCUGGCCUAAUACUGACGCUGAGGUACGAAAGCAUGGGGAGCAAACAGGAUUAGAUACCCCUGUAGUCCCUGUCUCUUAUAA
rnacentral:rRNA from 1 species